GCCAGGCAUGGUGGUGCACACCUGUAAUCUCAGUGACUUUUGAGGCUGAGGCAGGAGGAUUUCAAGUUCGAGACCAGCCUCAGAGAGGCCUUAAGCAACUCAGUGAGACUCUGUUUCAU
rnacentral:sRNA from 1 species